rnacentral:rRNA from 1 species
UACGUAGGGUGCGAGCGUUAAUCGGAAUUACUGGGCGUAAAGCGUGCGCAGGCGGUUUUGUAAGCCAGAUGUGAAAUCCCCGGGCUCAACCUGGGAAUGGCAUUUGGGACUGCAAGGCUUGAGUGCGGCAGAGGAGACUGGAAUUCCUGGUGUAGCAGUGAAAUGCGUAGAUAUCAGGAGGAAUACCGAUGGCGAAGGCAGGUCCCUGGGCUGACACUGAGAAGCGAAAGCAUGGGGAGCGAACAGG